UCCUUAGGUUGUGCUGUGGCGUUCAGGUAAGUAAAGGUCCGCAAAUGGCGUCUGGCCUUGAGCUGCUCUCCUUCGCCCUCUUAUGUGGAAAAACCGCCCUGAGAACGGAAGACAGUCGCCGAGGGAGGAAAAAACGUCGUCCGUCCUCGCAAACGGUUCUGCUGCGCAACGGGUGACUUCACCACGCCACGCCUUCGAGAAACCUCUUUAUUCUUCUCUGCGACACGCCCCCUUUGCGCACUUUGGGAUUCCAUAUUUGGGAGAAGGAAGGGGUCACGUGAGCGGGGCGUUCGGGACCGGGGACGGUGACGUAGUGCGAAACCUUUUUUGGUUUUUUUUUUUUUUUUUCCUUUCUUUGUCCAAAGAGCGAAGAAAUAACGAUGGAGACAAUCCGGGGAGGAGUCGGAAUCAAUUCGUCCUUUCAUCUCCUGCCAAGGGGCGAACGGGUCAGGACACAACCCGCAAAAGGUGCUGCCGGUUGCGGGAGGCCAAACAUGUUUGGUUGCAGGUUUGCUUCCAUGGCAACAAGGGGAGCUCGCGAGCACGGCACGGCACGGCUCGGCGACUUCUUUUGAGUGGACUCGCGCCGAUUCCUAAAAUCAUUCGGAGGGUUCCUCCUUCCGGGUCCCCCAAAACGGGUCAACGUCCCCAUCGAGGGCUUGAAUCUUCUGGAUCGAAUCCUGUCGGCUCUUCAAGGGAAGCGGAUUACUGACAGAAUUAUGUGCAACGAUUCACGCGACCUUUUUUUCGGUGUGGCAGUAAUAUGCUUCACAGUAAUACGCUUCCGUGGCUGUCGAAGGGAAGAAGACGUGCCAACAAUUUCGGACUUUUGCCCAGGUCGCGCGUGUCUUGCCCCGAGCUGUGCGCAGGCAGGAUCCCGCGUUUCCCGGACAUUUGACGAGCGGCACCACGUUCGUGGACGUCGGCGGGCCGCAGUCGCACGCAGCUGGCAACUGUCCAACACCGACUUCCUGUUCCAAGACUUCUUUGGUACUUGCUGCGAUGACGAAUAAUUGUACCCCACCCAACUGCCCUUUAUCUGUCCUCCCUCUCGCGCGUGGCCAGUGUACAGUGUAGCCACGCACGCCUACUUGCGAGUGAUUCACCACUCGUGGAUUCCCCUCUUCGUGGAUCUUUUUCCCCAUUAAAAACGUAA